rnacentral:tRNA from 1 species
UGUGUCACCAACGGGGCGAUUGCUGGAACGAUGCCCCAUGCGCUCGAUACCACCGAUGCUGAUCAACAAGCUGCCAACCGCG